AGUGAACGCUGGCGGUAGGCCUAACACAUGCAAGUCGAACGGCAGCACAGUAAGAGCUUGCUCUUACGGGUGGCGAGUGGCGGACGGCUGAGGAAUACAUCGGAAUCUACUUUUUCGUGGGGGAUAACGUAGGGAAACUUACGCUAAUACCGCAUACGACCUACGGGUGAAAGCAGGGGAUCUUCGGACCUUGCGCGAUUGAAUGAGCCGAUGUCGGAUUAGCUAGUUGGCGGGGUAAAGGCCCACCAAGGCGACGAUCCGUAGCUGGUCUGAGAGGAUGAUCCGCCACACUGGAACUGAGACACGGUCCAGACUCCUACGGGGAGCAGCAGUGGGGAAUAUUGGACAAGGGGGGAAAGCCUGAUCCAGCCAUACCGCGUGGGUGAAGAAGGACUUCGGGUUGUAAAGCCCUUUUGUUGGGAAAGAAAAGCAGCAGGUUAAUACCCCGCUGUUCUGACGGUACCCAAAGAAUAAGCACCGGCUAACUUCGUG
rnacentral:rRNA from 1 species